rnacentral:lncRNA from 1 species
AGCGGCCAAGGCAGACGCGGAGACAGACGGCCCUCGGCUCGUGGGGCGGGGCCGGGCGGGCGGUGCCGACGGCGGGGGCCUCGCGUGGCCGCGUCGCGCAGGGCCCGGGCUGUCCCGGGCUGCGCCGUCCUCCGCGCCGGAGCCGAAUCCUCGCAGGCGCCCCGUUUCCGGGACUAGGGAGGAAGACUGGGCGGCCGCAGGUCUGGUGCGUGGGGCGCAGAGGGCCGAGGCGAUCAGGCGCGCCGGGCACCCAAAGUGGGCGGAGCCAGCUCCGGGUCCUUCCGGGACCCCGCCCGGAGGCGGAGGCGGAGGCGGAGGCGGAGGCGGAGGCGGAGGCGGAGGCUGCCGGGUGGUGUGGCUUUGGAGAGCUGUGUGCUGUCCCGGAGAGCGCUCAGCGAGGACAGAGGACCCAAGACUUCGAUUUGUUCAGUCUUGGGGCAAAAUUUGCUGUGCCAGGUCUACUGGAGGAAGCUGCAGGCCUGCCGUGGAGGCUGCUCCAAAACACAGGCACCAGCCGCAGCCUCAUUCUCCAGGACCUGCCUUCUCUUGGAUUCUCUGGUCCUGGGCCCUGCCCAGAUGGCUGUCGGAAAACCCCAUCACCUCCACUGCUUCCUGCUGCCCGAGGAGGAGAAGGGAGAGGGAGCUAUUGGUUAUCGGCCUCUUCAAUCUUGUGGAUGCUCUGCAAGGUACUUUGCAGGUCGCAUUUAAUAUAAUAGAUCGUUUUAACUUUUUCUUUCCAUAA